rnacentral:rRNA from 1 species
CAGCGGCGGACGGGUGAGUAAUGCCUAGGAAUCUGCCUAGUAGUGGGGGACAACGUUUCGAAAGGAACGCUAAUACCGCAUACGUCCUACGGGAGAAAGUGGGGGAUCUUCGGACCUCACGCUAUUAGAUGAGCCUAGGUCGGAUUAGCUAGUUGGUAGGGUAAAGGCCUACCAAGGCGACGAUCCGUAACUGGUCUGAGAGGAUGAUCAGUCACACUGGAACUGAGACACGGUCCAGACUCCUACGGGAGGCAGCAGUGGGGAAUAUUGGACAAUGGGCGAAAGCCUGAUCCAGCCAUGCCGCGUGUGUGAAGAAGGCCUUCGGGUCGUAAAGCACUUUAAGUUGGGAGGAAGGGCUCAUAGCGAAUACCUGUGAGUUUUGACGUUACCAACAGAAUAAGCACCGGCUAACUUCGUGCCAGCAGCCGCGGUAAUACGAAGGGUGCAAGCGUUAAUCGGAAUUACUGGGCGUAAAGCGCGCGUAGGUGGCUUGAUAAGUUGGAUGUGAAAUCCCCGGGCUCAACCUGGGAACUGCAUCCAAAACUGUCUGGCUAGAGUGCGGUAGAGGGUAGUGGAAUUUCCAGUGUAGCGGUGAAAUGCGUAGAUAUUGGAAGGAACACCAGUGGCGAAGGCGACUACCUGGACUGACACUGACACUGAGGUGCGAAAACGUGGGGAGCAAACAGGAUUAGAUACCCUGGUAGUCCACGCCGUAGACGAUGUCAACUACCCGUUGGGAUCCUUGAGAUCUUAGUGGGCGCACCUAACGCAUUAAGGUUGACCGCCUGGGGGAGUACGGCCCGCCAGGGUGAAAACUCCAGAUGAAUUUGACGGG